UUGUGUUCUUCAUAGUUAGCAAAUCUAGAAGGCAAGAUGAUAAUGUUUCAUGGCCUGUAAUCAAAUGGCGCCGAUAUAUGAUUGGGAAGUUUCGUUUUGCUAUAACUUCGAUGAAUUCAACUACUUGUACAAGUCGUAAACGUACAGUAGUUAUUCGUAUAGAAGCAUCUAAUAAUAAUUCGAUAACAUAGUUCAGAUAAAAAUUAAUAUUAAAAUUCCAAAGUGACGACGAUGCUAAAAAAUCUCAUUGCCAACGCAGGACAGUGAAUAAAUGCAAAUUAACUAGGACAGGCGUGAAAGUAAACAUACUGCCACCUUAUAUCAGCAUCAAUCUUGAUACACAGGCAAAAUUAGGUUGUAGGCUUUUUGAAGGCACCGGUCUUAGUUUUGAUUGUGGCUGCGCGAACUAAUCCGUCUUUGGCAGGAUAAACGACGAUGACACACCCAGGUUAAAGGUGGACAUCCAACUUCGAUGACAAGAACACUACGUCGAUCGUUGAGUGUGCUGCCACUUGGAUCGCGGUUGAAGAGAAACCAAAUAGUCAUUUUUCCAGGGAUUCCAGAAUCCACGUCGAAAGUUCUGAAUAAAUUUCCACUCAGAACACCGUGUGCGAGCAGCUAUAUAUGUGUUUGGAACGGAAGUCAAAGUAUUAUCUGUAUUUUAAACUGCUGACGAUUUCGCAAUCUCGUCGGUGCCCCCAAAUGUUUGGUGGCGGAUAAUCAAAUGGCGCCGACAUACAGCAAAAACCGAUUAGCUCAUAUUUCUGAGGAUCUUUUUCAAGGAUUACCUAUUGCUCAUGUGUACCUAGACGGCAAUAACAUUCUGGCAAUCGAAAUUGAAAAACUUCGGAAAUUGAAUAAAAUAUCAGUGUCUAUCAUAAUGAAUGAGCCGAAUCUAACUAUGAAAAAUAUAACGGAUCAGGAAUCGGAAGUAGCUCCAAGUAGAGAUGUUGACUGAAUAUUGAGAAAGAAAAGUUCAAGAUACAAAUUACAGUUGAAAUUUUGUGCUUCACUGUUUCACACAUCUUUACAUAUACUGCCACCGCACGUUUUAUAAAUAUUUCAUCUUGCAUUUGGAUCUCUGCAAUUCCAAGGAAGCAGAAGUAUGGAUUACCAAGGAAAAUUAAGCUCAGUUGUAAAGAAAAAUAAACAAAUUUCUUUUCUGCUUUUG
rnacentral:misc_RNA from 1 species